GAUUACUAUGCAAUACCAGCACUGGCCAGUAGGGGUCGCUGUAUGUGGAGACAGGCAGGGAUAGGAAGUUGCAGCAUAUCCCUCCCUGCCUACCUAUACUCACUGAUCUGCAGGGGAGCAGCUACAGAGAGUCCAGACAGCAACUCCCACCCUGCAGAGACAGCCUACAGCUCAGGGAAGUAAGGGAUGGGGGAAAGGCUGCAAGGAG